UUUGCUCAUUUGUGUGAAUUUGUCAUUUGCACAUCUUUGGACACCAGUUUGUGGUUUUGAGUAAUCUUCUGCUUCAAGUCCCCUGGUAUUUCUUAGGCGGAUGUCCAACCACAACCAGCACCUUAUGCGUUGGGCGCUGUUCGUACAGGACUACAACCUCGAGAUGCACCACAAUCAUACUCUGUUUAAUUUCCUGAUGAUGUUCACCUGGGACUGCAGCUUCAUCAGCUGUGACUGGCCGCCUGCUGGUCAUGUGGUGCUCCUCUACCAGGAAGCCGGAGCCUAUUAAAGCACACCUGGGAGCUGAGCCUGGCAGAGUCUGGUGAACUGUCUCUGGCUGACACUCACUGCGAUCCUGACUCUCUUUUGGCUGCAUGCUUCUGACUAAGCUGUUUUCCUCAGGUACGUGGUGGGAGGUUGUGAUCAGGCAAGUUUGGGGCCCCAUACAUUUUCACACGCAGGCUGAACUUUGUUAGACACACCAGGUAAGGGGUUGGUGCCAUUUCUUGUAAUGUUUUGUAUGUUUGUAUUUAGACUAGUUAGGUAGUCUUUUGUUGUUCUUUUGAUUUAUGGGUUUAGUUGCAGAGUUAGGCCUGGUUUUGUUAUAUUGAGUUUAUUUAUUUGGCACAACCCAAACGUCACUUCCUCCCCCACAGGUAAUUGUUUGCAGCAGCCUGAGUCUUUGAAUAUUAUAAACCAUAUUUAUAUACAUCA